rnacentral:tRNA from 1 species
UGGAUCACCUCCUAACAGGGAGACAACAAAAUGUUUAAUAUUAUUAUUUUGUCACCUUAGGUCGAUCGGUAUCUCACGUUUUUAAUUUAUUAAGAAUUUCAUUUCCUAAGUUUUUCUAGGUCACACCCAUUAUUUUUCCUGGGCCAUUAGCUCAGGUGGUUAGAGCGCACCCCUGAUAAGGGUGAGGUCCCUGGUUCAAGUCCAGGAUGGCCCAUAUCUCUAUGUUGGGGGUAUAGCUCAGUUGGUAGAGCGCCUGCUUUGCAAGCAGGAUGUCAGCGGUUCGAGUCCGCUUACCUCCACUGAUCACCACCUCUUCCAUAAUCGGUACAAAGGAAAUUUUUUGAGUUGUGAUCAAAUUCUGAAAGAAUCUAGCUUCCUAAUGAAAUCAUUAAGAUGCUGGACUCAUUGAAUUAAUUUCAUUGUUUUCAGAGAACCUUGACAACUGCAUAGAUUAUUUUUAAAGACAAUAAGCAUCUUUAAUGAUGCAGAUUUAUUAUUUGUGCAAAUGCAUUAAUAACAAUUCUAUUAAGCUGAUGCUUCAAUAUUUGAAGUUAUUGGUCAAGCUACAAAGGGCUCACGGAGGAUACCUAGGCACACAGAGGCGAUGAAGG